CUUUAGUCAGACCGAAUGUUCGGAGUCUGUUAGCAUCCUCCAGCAUGAUCUCCAGCGAGCUGCUUCUGCUGUGAGCCGCAGUGAUGUUCUGUAGACGGAGACAACAAACGGGCUUUCGGAGGCAAAUAAGAGCCAGCCUCCUGCAAGAAGCGGAUUACAGGUGGAGGUGUGGUCCUACGGUGUUCCUGGGUUGGACUUCCCCGUCCCUUCACUGUUGGUGUGGCACGGUGCAGGAAACCACUGAACUGUGUCCGUGCCUGGUGUGAUCCGGCGUUCCGGCGUAGAGUGCCCAAUAACCUUACACCCCUCCACUUGCCACAGUAAGAAAUCAAAGUCUUCAGCAAACACAAUCGUUCCAGAGUGACGGGCGUCCUUCAGCCUCCUGGAGCCUCAUGGGGUGAUGCUGCUCAACAGGUCAGGAAUCAGGUAGCUGCCUGGGGCCGGCAGCGUCUUUGGGGCUGUUG